rnacentral:tRNA from 1 species
GGGGUUGUGGCUCAGUGGUAGAGCACUCACCUAGCAUGUGCAAGGCCCUGGGUUUGAUCCUCAGCACCACA